UGGCUGGGCGAGUGACCGCGCAUGUGCGCCUGCAUGGAGGCCAGGCUGGGACAGCCGGCCCCGCACAGGGAGCAGCGGUACGGAGCGGCCCCGUGUGUCCGCAGGUGCUUGGUCAUGGCCGAGAAGUCCCGGGAGCGCUGAGGACAAAGGCUACAGGAGAAGGGCUUCUCUCCUAGAGCGGUCGGAAGGGGAGGCCGGUGAAGGAAGGAAGAAGGCGGCGAAAGCUGGCCAAGUUAGGGGUGGAUCGGGCCACGGGGCUAGGGGAUUGCGCGGGAACCGGGCACACAGGUGGAGACUCAGGAGCGGAGUUGGGAAGAAAGCCGACAGUUCACACAGGGCAGGGCGCCCAUACCUGUGUGGACUCGGUAGUGCGUCUCCAUCUGAUGCUUGAGUGAAAACCUCUUUCCACAGACAGAGCACGCAUAGGGCCGAGACCGAGCAGGAGGGGCCGGGGGAGGGUGCGGGCGAGGUGGGCAGCCUGCCUUGUCCUCAUGACCCGCACAGGUUGCAAGUGCGCCUGUGGGGACAGAGAAGGCAAAGGAGGGCAGGGCCAGGAAUCCCAGCGCCAACUCACUGUACCAUUCAGGCAGGAAAUCAAGGGCUACAGUGGGGCUGAGGCACGAGUGCCCCCGCCCGACUCACCUGUGUGCCCCUGAUCAGACUCUUCCAUCUCCCCAGGGCUGAGCUGUGCGGGGCCCUGGGGGAGGGAACCUGGAAGGAACAGUGGGAGGUAGGGGCCCUGCUCAGGCUGGACUCCUCGAGCCCCAGCCCAGAGAAGACACCAUGUUACAGGUGUAUGCAGGACAGCGAGGGGCUUACCUGGGGUAGGGCUGGAGGAGGCCAACUGGUUCUGGCUCCAGAGCCCUUUGGGGGCAUUUAGGGACAGUGGGAUCCUGGGAUGGGGUGGGGAAGAGUUACAGCCUUGGCUAAACCUGGGAGCCUGGCCCCUUCGUGAAGAGGGGGUAUCCCAAGUCCUCCCCCGGGGGCUGGGCUUUGGCGUGCCCUGUGGCAGCAGCUUCUUGUCUCUUCCCCAGCUCAGGAACUGUGCAGUAGAGAUGCAGUGCCCUUCCACCCAGCAGGGCUGCCCCUCCUGGGCCAUGCCCUCCCAGCCUGGAGGCAGAGCACUAGACCCCGCCACUCACCUCUGUUCCCGCCAGACCUCCUGCCAGGCUCCAGUGGUGGGGGUGCUAUGGUAGAAGGGAAUGCCAUAUCUGGGCGGCAUCAGCAGGAUGCUCCACAGGGCAGGCUGGCCCCCCACCAACCAAGGGGCCUCAGCCCACGAGGGCCUAGGGGUGACGCUGGUUUGCAGGGAGCCUGCUGGGGGAAGGGGGCCAGGGAGCUUGCGCAGACUUUCCUCAGAGCCCCCUGGAUUUUCCCUCAACCACGUGAGCACUCCAUGCUUCCCAUCUGCUCCCCUUUGGCCAACAGGGGCUUGGAGGCGUUUCUCCUUUGACCUGGUCUGUUCCUGCUGAGCCUCCUGCGUUGCUCCUGCCAUCUCGGGUCUGCCUCUUGGUGGCGAGUGCUUGUGCAACAUCUCCUGUUCUCUCCCACCAGUUCUAGAAACCUGUUCUGGUUUCUGCUUCUCUCCAGGGUCCCCCAGUUCUCUCUCAGGAUUCCUUGAGGGUUUCUCUGGCUCCUCCUGAUGUUUCUUCAGGCCUGGAUCUGGCUUUUUAGCCCUGUCCCCUCGAGCCCUCCAGCAUGCCUCUUCCAGGGACUGCACUCCCAAGGCCCUGGCCGCCUCCUGAAGGGGCCUUAGCUCUCCAGGCUGCAGCUCUACACUCUCCCCAUACACAAAGUUCAGGAGCUGGGCAAAGGUAGAAGGGCUGAUGCCUUCUCCCAGAGCCCACUGGCCCCUGCGGCCCAGCUGCUGGCUGACACCUGCUAGCACCAGGCUGUGGGCGGGGAACUCCUGGCUCCCUACGGUGAUCAGAGUAUCACAGAGUGCUGGCCGGAGCCUGGCUGCUAGCUGUACCAGCCGAUCAGAGCCAUAGGGGCUGGGCAGUCUUAUGGGGGGCAGGGACAUUGUGCCUUGGCUUGGGUACCUAACUCAGAGGCUCUAAGAGGAAGUCCACAGUGUGAGGUCCAUGGUUGAAAGGGGAGGGAGGAACAUCUCAUCUCAUUUCAAGCCUGUGGAUGUGAGGGGAGAGGGUGUGAGUUGCUGGUCCUAGAUCAGAGCCCUCUGUCCUGAGUGAGCAAAUAAAGUAACCCAAGAGAGGAUUGGAGCUUAUCCAGAAUCAUAGCAGGUAGGCAUGGUGGCGAGAGAAUGGAAAUCAGACCAAAUUCAGGACUUAAAGAGCAAGGGCCAGUCAGUUAACAGAAAUAUCUAGUAGUGGGUUUAAGACAGGCGUGCGGGAAGUCUGCCAGUUGGCAGUCUCUGACGUAAAAGAUAGCAGAUACUGCCACUUCUGCUUCUCCAAGCCCCUCUGCAGGGAAACACCUCUGCGCAAGCCAGGCUUUCUUCAUUCCAGACAAGGAUCACCACAAAACCCAGUCAACGCCGGCACUAAGGGAUGGAGCAUGACACAGUUUCACGGGAGAGCUUAGAAAGCUAGUGGGUCCUCCCCCAAAAGCCCAUCGCUCCUGAAAGGCAGAGAGGGCAGCAUGAUAGGGAUCCUGGCUGCAGGAGCGCAGGCGCUAAGGCAUCCGGCAGUCAUCACUGUGAAGCUGAAGCUUCUAGAACACAUCCUCAGGGAAGGAACCAGACAUUCCCAUCCAGAGAAAGAGGAGAGCAGGUGCAGAAGCCACAGGAGAGGAGGCUCCUGACCCAAUGAUGGAGAGACCUUUUGGAGAAUGGACUCCUGAGGAGAUGGGAGGAAAGGACGUGGGGACUGGAGACAGGGAGGCUGUUUCCUCUCAAGAUUUGGG
rnacentral:lncRNA from 10 species